GAACCCAUAGCCCAGCAGUAAACUGGCUUGCACUGCCUUUCAAAUUGUGUAUUUCUUUAACUUAGAAAACAGUGUGGGCCGAAAAUCCGAGAGAAGUUUAAGAAUACCUUGGAGACAUUUUGGAAUCCAUCUUCCCAAUCUUGGACUGUGUAUUAGGGAGUGAAUGAUACAAGAUUCUAUAGUUAUCAAGGAAUUCACGAAAGAAAAUUAAUCUCAGUAGAUCUCCACUUGUGGUGAAGUCUGUCUACCUCACGUUUAUUCUGAGACUGUCGACAUUUUGUGCUGCGGAACUGAUCUCACAAUUGCAUGAAUUGAAAGGUUUGUGAUAUCCAUAACAGUUUGGACUGUGCUUAUUAAAAAAACAACUGAAAGGUAU